rnacentral:lncRNA from 1 species
CUCAGAGAAAGCAAGCCAAGAAGCCCUACCAAAAGGUCAAGAAAGGGGGAGGGGUUGAGGAAGGAGGAGAGGACAAGGUGACCUCCUCAGCCAAACAGAGAGUGGGCGUCUCGGUGCUGCUUGCAGCACAUGAAGAGGGUUGUUGAUAAUACAACGUUUGUAGUCUGUCUGGAGAGUUGACCAUGUGUGGGUUUCUUCUCCUCUCCACCAAUCAAUCCACUAGUCCUACAUUCUUCUUCCUGGUUCAGGUUCCUGAGAUAUCAGACUGACCUAAUGAAGCACUCACAACUCAACUGAACGUUGGGAUAGUUUUAAAGAAUGAUAUCAGACCUGCAAGGGAAUUGAACCGUCGACCGGCUGACCAGAAGCAACAUGACCAGUGUUAACUCCCCCGCCUGCCUCCUGGCUCGUAACCAGUUCUAUAGAAACACAACAAGCCCUAGAGAGAGUAUAAAGCCUAAUGCAGUCUACAGCCUCUCUGAUUGGUCGAUGCUACAAGUACUGGUCUGGGUGACCAUGUCAACACAACCAGGGUUCCCAGGAGCAGGGGGGAUAUCUAAAGGAAGGUGGGUCAGUGUGGUUCUGGGGAGCCCCAAACCAUGCACCGCCCCGUCCAGCCCACCGCCCUCGCCCAGUGCUCCCGUCCAGCGACCCCGGUCCAGCGUCCCCAGUCUAGAGCCCCGGUCCAGCGCCCCCGGUCCAGCGCCCCCGGUCCAACGCCCCCGGUCCAGCGCCCCCCAGCCAACAGAGCGGUCCAGUAGAGUCACACCACCACCAAUCAACAGGUUGAAACACACAGAGGGAAAGACUCCAAGAGGAAGAUGA